AUUUUUUCUUUUUCUUUCUUUCUUUUUUUUUUUUAUUUUUGAGACAGAGUUUCUCUCUGUCAUCCAGACUGGAGUGGAAUGGCACAAUCUGAGCUCACUGCAACCUCUGCCUCCUGGGUUCAAGCAAUUCUCCUACCUCAGCCUCCUGAGUAUCUAGGAUUACAACAGGCUCUCGCAAUUUGUAUUCUCAACACCGGACCAUUAUUGUCAACACAGCCAUGGAGAGGCUUCCUCUGAUCCAUUUUAGACUUGUAACCUUCAACAUUCUAAGGACACUGAGGAUAUAAGGUUUCUUCUUCUUAGCAAGGUGGCAGUCCAUUAUCACUGCAAAUAAAGACAAAUUGAGACUUGAUAAUUUACA
rnacentral:lncRNA from 13 species